rnacentral:rRNA from 1 species
AGCCCGGAGAUAGCUGGUUCUCUCCGAAAUAGCUUUAGGGCUAGCCUCAAGGUUUAGAGAAGCGGAGGUAGAGCACUGAAUGUCCUAGGGGGUAUUGCACUUACCGAAGACUAUCAAACUCCGAAUGCCGUAUUCUUAUACUUGGGAGUCAGACUGUGGGUGAUAAGAUUCAUAGUCAAAAGGGCAACAGCCCAGAUCGUCAGCUAAGGUCCCUAAAUGUACGUUAAGUGGUAAAGGAUGUGGGAUUGCACAGACAACCAGGAUGUUGGCUUAGAAGCAGCCACUCAUUUAAAGAGUGCGUAAUAGCUCACUGGUCGAGUGAUCCUGCGCCGAAAAUUUCCGGGGCUAAAACGUACUACCGAAGCUACGGCAUCAUUUAUGAUGGGUAGGAGAGCUUUCUAUGCGGGUUGAAGCAUGACCGAAAGGACAUGUGGACUGUAUAGAAGUGAGAAUGUUGGCAUGAGUAGCGAGAUGUGGGUGAGAAUCCCACAGGCCGUAAACCCAAGGUUUCCAGGGGAAGGUUCGUCCGCCCUGGGUUAGUCAGGACCUAAGCCGAGGCCGAAAGGCGUAGGUGAUGGACAACAGGUUGAUAUUCCUGUACCACCAAUAACCGUUUGAGAAAUGGGAUGACACAGAAGGAUAAGCUAACCGCACUGUUGGUUAUGUGCGGGCAAGUAUUGAGGCAGUUCCGAUAGGCAAAUCCGUCGGAAUAAUGCUGGGGUACGAUGCGGAGCGAAAUUUAGUAGCGAAGUAGCUGAUUUCACACUGUCGAGAAAAGUCUCUAUCGAGGUUAAAGGUGCCUGUACCGCAAACCGACACAGGUGGGUGAGGAGAGUAUCCUAAGGCCAGCCAGAGAACUGUUGUUAAGGAACUCGGCAAAAUGACCCCGUAACUUCGGGAGAAGGGGUGCCUGUCUUUGACAGGCCGCAGAGAAUAGGCCCAAGCGACUGUUUACCAAAAACACAGGUUUCUGCUAAGUCGCAAGACGAUGUAUAGGAGCUGACGCCUGCCCGGUGCUGGAAGGUUAAGGGGAUCUGUUAGAGCAAUCGAAGCAGUGAACUUAAGCCCCAGUAAACGGCGGCCGUAACUAUAACGGUCCUAAGGUAGCGAAAUUCCUUGUCGGGUAAGUUCCGACCCGCACGAAAGGCGUAACGAUUUGGGCACUGUCUCAACAACAGACUCGGUGAAAUUGUAAUACCGGUGAAGAUGCCGGUUACCUGCGACAGGACGGAAAGACCCCAUGGAGCUUUACUGUAGCUUGACAUUGGGUC